UACGAAGGGGGCUAGCGUUGUUCGGAAUUACUGGGCGUAAAGCGCGCGCAGGCGGCUAUCCAAGUCAGUGGUGAAAGCCCGGAGCUCAACUCCGGAACUGCCAUUGAAACUGUUUAGCUUGAGGAUGAGAGAGGUGAGUGGAAUUCCCAGUGUAGAGGUGAAAUUCGUAGAUAUUGGGAAGAACACCGAUGGCGAAGGCAGCCCCUGGGUCAAGAUUGACGCUCAUGCACGAAAGCGUGGGGAGCAAACAGG
rnacentral:rRNA from 1 species